CUUUAACCUAAAUACAUAUAUUUAAAUAGAAACCUUAAAUAAAUGUAUAAAUUUAAAGCUUAUAUCACUUGGCUUAACUAGAGGGUAACCAAAACAAAACCCCAAUGAAAUAAAGCCAAAUUACUACAUUCUUAUUUAUAUCUUGGUUUCCCACCAAAGUCCAUUGUCUUUAUAAAAAAGGAGCUUAAGAAGUGUUAAAGACAUGGUCAUAUCAAACCAAGACUAUCCUUAAAGAAAUCAGAGAGCUAAAAGAGAAGUGAAAGGGAAUAUUUUUCUCACUAAUUAAGAGAAUCCACAUUAUUUAAACUUUUAUCUGUGUACCCUGAGAAUCAUCUACCAUACAACAGUGGAUAAAAAGUUUCCCAUUCUGGAGACAGGUAUAGCAGAUGGCUUCCUGAACUUGAAGUCAAGGGUCCACUUACUAGCUGUGUGUUCUGAACUCGUCACUUGCCCUCUCUGGGCCUCUCUGGCCUCACCUGUAAAACGAGCUAAGAAGAGAGGAUCUCUAAAGUUCUUCUGGAUCUAAUAGUCGAAGACUCUGAAGCCCUGAUUCUCAUCCGAAGGAGAUCUAGGACUUAAGGUGGGUAUCCUUUUAUUUUGUGUUUAGAACCUUUGAAGGGAGUUGGGGAAAACCACGGAUUCCCAGAAAUUCCGACCAGCACUGUCUCUACGUUGGGGCAAUUUAACCUAACGUAGCAGAACAGCUGAGUGUUUAGAACCUGGAGUCCAAGAUCAAUUCAGUUGUGUCCAACUCUUUGCGACCCCAUGAAUCGCAGCACGCCAGGCCUCCCUGUCCAUCACCAACUCCCGGAGUUUACUCAAACUUGCAUCCAUCGAGUCAGUGAUGCCAUCCAGCCAUCUCAUCCUCUGUCGUCCCCUUCCCCUCCUGCCCCCAAUCCCUCCCAACAUCAGAGUCUUUUCCAAUGAGUCAACUCUUCGCAUGAGGUGGCCAAAGUGUGGAGUUUCAGCUUUAGCAUCACUCCUUCCAAAGAAAUCCCAGGGCUGAUCUCCUUCAGAAUGGAUUGGUUGGAUCUCCUUGCAGUCCAAGGGACUCUCAAGAGUCUUCUCCAACACCACAGUUCAAAAGCAUCAAUUCUUCAGCGCUCAGCUGUCCAAGAUACCUGCAUUUAAAUCCUUGCUGUACCUCCGGCAUGUAUGUAUUGAAACUUUGAGCAAGUUACCCUCUUUGGCCCCCGUUUCUCUAAUUAUACAGUAGGGACAGUGAUAGAAUUUAUCCAUAUUGUGAAGAUGAAACUAUAAUGUUAGGUGCUUACUCCAGGGCCUGGUCCAUGUCUCAGCAGUGAUUCCUAUUUAUUAUGGUAAUUCCUAAGAUUGAUUUAUUUUAAAUGAAACUUGGAAGUAAGCCACUGGGAAACUGUUUGGUGGCCCUGUCCCCAGUGUCUUAAAACUAAUGAAAUGAAUGUUUCCCAAUAAGGGGAAGCCUAGUCUGAGAAAGGUGAAUGUGAGUGUACAAGGCUGUCUAAUUACACACAGCCUUGGUGCUGAAUAUGAGGGCCAAGUGUAUUUGUGUGGGUUUUAGGACUUUUGAAAAAAAUAAUUUUUUUUUAAAAGCUUUAGCUGAGCAGCUUGUGGCUUUCCAGCCCACAGGUUUCCUGCGUCUCUGCCCGGCCCCUUGGUGCAGGUGUCUGCAUGUGUGCGUGUGGGACGGAGGAGAGAGUGUGGCGCGGUGAGGUGGGGAAUAGCAGAAGAACAGAGUUCCCCUUGAUGGCCCCUGACCUGCUCUGUCACCAUGGCAGGUCUGUUCUCGCCCUUGUGGGGCUGGGCAAGGUGGCGGGGGCAGCCGAGCCUGACAUUUGAAAGAGCAGUAUCGCUGUCUUUGAGAUCUUGCUGCCACUGCUGGGACAUUCCUGACCAGGUGGAAUUCUCCUGAUGACAUUUUUUGGGGAUGAUCAUGUGACAACUCCCUGGAGCACAGAAAGUUCUGUUAUUAGAGCUGUGGACCUGGAUUUUCAUUCUGUCCUGACCACUAAUGAGCUCUCUGACCUUUCUGAACACUUUUGUUUCUUCUUUUCCUUAUUUGUAAAAUAAAGGUUAGAUCAUACCCGUGGUUUUUAAGUUACAACUUAUUUGCGUACGUGUGGGGUAGAUGUCACAGAGCCUUUGGACAAACUGAUGAGAGUUAUAUAGAUUCUGUCUCCAAAAAAACAUAGGUCCCCACUCAUUUUGUAUAAUAUUUGAGGCUGUUUCAAGACAGCCCUGGAAAUCCUUCCGUGGAGUCCAGGUGGCAAACCACUGAUUCUGUGCUUUAUUUAGUUUGCAAGCUUCCAUGAAGCCCAUGCCUUCCAAGUUGGCAUUCCUGCUGAACCUAAUGCAAAUGGAGAACCUGUCCAUUUACAAAUGUGUUUAGCAUACUCUCCCUCCACAGUCCAGCAAAGAGAGCCUCAGCCCAGCAGGGGCAUGAAGGAGCUGAGCUACCAGGGCCUUUGCGUGCGGCUGUGCAGGUUUUUUCCUGCACAAGUCAUCCCAGUUGAUAGCCACACCUUUUCCUGUUCACACUAAAGUAGGACCUGGGCCAAAUGUAGUCUUUGCAACAUAUACUUGCAUACCAAAAUAUAAAGUCCAGCAGGAAAUUCUCUGCCCAAAGACUUGACCCGAGGCUGACUCUCUCUGUGUUGGCUCAGUAGACAGUAUUAAUCAGUGACUGGAGAGAGGGGUCACUGAGAGACCAAAAUAUGCACUUACGACUUGGGCAAGACUGAGAUCCUUGAAUGAGUUAGGAUUCUUGCGGAAAGUGACUGCAUUUGUUGGAGUUCUUAGUUUGCAGACAACAGAAACCAAUUCAGCUGACUUAAGCAGGAAGGUGACAUAUUAGAAGCAUGUCAGGUGGUUCACAGAAAUGUCAGGAAAGCUACAGAACAGGCACGAGAUGCAGAGCAGUGACAAUGGAGGUGAGGCCUCAACCAGAAUAGCGGUCUGAGUGAUGAUGCAGCCCCAGCCUAGCAUGGAUGCCACUGCCUUCAAGCAAUCCCAGCUUACCUUGCUGCCACUGGUGAUGCUGGAUGGAAGGUGUAGCUGUUGCCACCAACCACUAAGAUGAAUCCUCGAGGGCUCCAUUUCAUUGCAUGUAACAUCUGGUUGGUUGCACAUGGAUCAUGUGCUUGACCAUCCCAGCUGCACAGGGUCCUGGGAGAGUGAGUGACUGACAUUUUCAACUUCUCUGUUUCCCACCAAAACUCUUAAGUGGGGGACUUCCCCAAACCAUUGCAGGCAGCCCUCCCAAAUCAACAGACAUUCUGCAGACACAGCAACCAGCAGAGUUAGCCUCAGUAAAAAGAACUCUUGAAGGCUGGAGGGCAUUUUGUGAAAGUAAGGACAGGAGGGAAGCCAGACUUUCAAUGGCCUGGAACCAGGAACUUGAACAUCCGUGGAACACUUCCUCUAGCUCUUAUCUCUGCUGCUCAGGGCUCCUCCUUCAUUUUCUCUCUCUGCUUUCUGACAUGUUAUGUCCACAGUACUCACUUCACCUUUGCACCUUUGCUCCAGGAGGUAGCAUCAUGUGCUAAAAAUGGGGUGUUUUUAGCCCCAACUGUGGCUUUUUAUUCAGUGGGAAGCAGUGUCAUGAUUUAGAGUAACAGAAAAUUAUUUUUAUCAGAGAGCCACAGUUUGAGGGAGGUUCUUCACCCGAACCAAACUAAACAACAGCAAUAACACCCAACUGACCGGUACUCUUCAAAACAUGGCAAGGUCAAGCAAGACAAAAAAGGGCUGUAUAUUGAAUUUGUGCAUUGAAGCUAUAUAACA
ensembl:lncRNA